rnacentral:rRNA from 1 species
UUGAACGCUGGCGGCAGGCCUAACACAUGCAAGUCGCGCGGAUGAAGGGAGCUUGCUCCUGGAUUCAGCGGCGGACGGGUGAGUAAUGCCUAGGAAUCUGCCUGGUAGUGGGGGAUAACGUCCGGAAACGGGCGCUAAUACCGCAUACGUCCUGAGGGAGAAAGUGGGGGAUCUUCGGACCUCACGCUAUCAGAUGAGCCUAGGUCGGAUUAGCUAGUUGGUGGGGUAAGGGCCUACCAAGGCGACGAUCCGUAACUGGUCUGAGAGGAUGAUCAGUCACACUGGAACUGAGACACGGUCCAGACUCCUACGGGAGGCAGCAGUGGGGAAUAUUGGACAAUGGGCGAAAGCCUGAUCCAGCCAUGCCGCGUGUGUGAAGAAGGUCUUCGGAUUGUAAAGCACUUUAAGUUGGGAGGAAGGGCAGUAAGUUAAUACCUUGCUGUUUUGACGUUACCAACAGAAUAAGCACCGGCUAACUUCGUG